UUGAAAUGCUAGACUGGAAAACCUGCAUGAGUUCAGCUGGUGGCACGAACUCUUAAAGUUGUGGAGAAACCAAACCUAACCCUUCUUCAGACUCCUGAAGCAAGGCUUGAAAUAAUCCUUGAAACUAGAGUCUCCCCCGCUCUUGGUCCCUUAAUGAUGGCAUCUUCUCCCAAUCGAGGCAACUGAGAGAGCUGUCAGCAAACUGAAAAUCCAGCUACGUGGAAAGAGAGAAACCAAAGUCCCAGAAGGCCUUCAAGUUUCCAAACCAAACAGCAUCAAGUGGAACAGAUUCAACCAAAAACUUUUAAAGGAAGAGGCAUAUUCAAAGGAGAUGGUUUUCCUUGCACCCAAAAGAGCUGCAGAAAGAACAGAGUCUGUUUAAAGAAAAGCAGAGUCUAUCUUUGUAGAGAUCACUAUGUGGCGCAUGCACAUAUGCAUCAGCUGUGAGCUGUGGUCAG